CCCUGGAGCAUGUGCACACCUCGUCACCUUUAUCUUUCCACCUGUGCACACACUGUAGUCCUGGAUACCUCUCGCUGAAAGGCGGAUGCGGAGGCUGCUGCUGCCCUCAAAGGCUCGGCUUCCUCUGAAUUUCCAGGUCUAUGCUUUUUACACACCCCAAACGAAUGUUAUAGAAUGUCAUCAUUGGGCCUUUGUGCCUAUAAACCUAAUACAACUUUCAACAACGGAUCUCUUGGCUCUCGCAUCGAUGAAGAACGCAGCGAAAUGCGAUAAGUAAUGUGAAUUGCAGAAUUCAGUGAAUCAUCGAAUCUUUGAACGCACCUUGCGCUCCUUGGUAUUCCGAGGAGCAUGCCUGUUUGAGUGUCAUUAAAUUCUCAACCUCACCCAUUUUGUCAUGAAGUGUGCGUGUAGGCUUGGAUGUGGAGGCUUGCAGGUCCGACUCUCUGAGUUGGUCUGCUCCUCUGAAAUGUAUUAGUGGGUUGUGCCCCUCAUCUAUUGGUGUGAUAAUUAUCUACGCCGUGG
rnacentral:rRNA from 1 species